rnacentral:rRNA from 1 species
UACGAAGGGGGCAAGCGUUGUUCGGAAUUACUGGGCGUAAAGGGCGCGCAGGCGGCCGAUCAAGUCAGAUGUGAAAGCCCCGGGCUCAACCUGGGAAUAGCAUUUGGGACUGGUCGGCUAGAGUUCGGGAGAGGAGAGUGGAAUUCCCAGUGUAGAGGUGAAAUUCGUAGAUAUUGGGAAGAACACCGGUGGCGAAGGCGGCUCUCUGGACCGGUACUGACGCUGAGGUGCGAAAAGCGUGGGGAGCAAACAGG